rnacentral:rRNA from 1 species
CGACGAAUCAUUCAAGUUUCUGCCCUAUCAGCUUUGGAUGGUAGGGUAUUGGCCUACCAUGGCUUUGACGGGUAACGGAGAAUUAGGGUUCGAUUCCGGAGAGGGAGCCUGAGAGAUGGCUACCACAUCCAAGGAAGGCAGCAGGCGCGUAAAUUACCCAAUCCUGACACAGGGAGGUACUGACAAUAAAUAACAAUGCCGGGGUUUUACUCUGGCAAUUGGAAUGAGAACAAUUUAAAUCCCUUAUCGAGGAUCAAUUGGAGGGCAAGUCUGGUGCCAGCAGCCGCGGUAAUUCCAGCUCCAAUAGCGUAUACUAAAGUUGCUGCUGCUUAAAAGCUCGUAGUUGGAUUUCUGGCGGGGGCGGCUGGUUGAGCUCGCAAGGGCUCGUACUGUUGCUUAGCUUCCGCCAUCCUCGGGGAGAACGAUCCUGGCAUUAAGUUUGUUGGGGUUGGUAUCCUCUUCGUUCACUGCGAAAAAUUUAGAGUGUUCAAAGCUCGCUUACGCCCUGAAUAUCUAGUCUGG